rnacentral:tRNA from 1 species
CAGGGUGUGGCUCAGAAGUAGAGCUCUUGCCUAGUAUGUACAAGGCCCUGGGUUCGAUCCCCAGCACCAUCA